rnacentral:lncRNA from 1 species
ACCAGCAUGCCCAGCUAUAACUCUUAAUCUAAGGGAAAGUUCAAAACUAUGGUAGUUAGUACAGGCUCUGAGGAAGACAAAGGUAUCCUGGAUGAACCUGUUCUAAGACUCCCAUUUGUCUCUCAGGAGGAUAUGGGUCUCUGAUCUGCCUGAUGAUAUGGGGAAUUCUCUUCUACCUCCUCCUUAAAGUUCCCAGGCUAAUAAAUCAGCCUCUUCUUUAGUUACAGAUGUACAAGAGGCUAGGAACUGUGCAAAUGAACAAUGUUUUUAAAAUGAAAGGAAACCACCUUAGAAAGGUUAUUCCCCCUUCAACAGAACCAAAUGGACUAUAAUACUAGUCACAGACUAGAAAUGAUAUCUGAUAUGCUAGCUGCUCUUACCAGGGAAAUAAAGAGGGUAUGUUGAGUCUUUUGUAAGUAUACUAAUAUAGGUCCAUCUUCUAGGGAGGGAGAGGCGACAACAUUUCAUCUGUCAAUCAGCUCCAGAUAUUCAGCAUAAGCUACAAAAACUUCAGACAGGGCCUCAGACACCUAUAACCGAAUUGCUAGAUAUGAUCUUUUUUGUGUUCAACAGUCAGGACCCAGAGGAGAGAAAACAGAAAGUCUGGUUAUAGCCAUUGCAAUUGGUAAUGCUUUAAACCUACCCAGGUCAUCUAAGGAAAAACCCAAGGACAACUAAGAAAAUGAUUCCUGUUUCAAGAGUAAAAAGACUAGAUACUGGGCACAAGAUUACACCAAACUUGCACCUAGGCCCUGUUCCUGUGUCACUGGAGUAUCCUACUCCCUUGCUAAGAAGAGGUUUAUUAACAAAAUUGGAGGCAAGUCUCAAAUUCCAGCUAAGGCCAAAAUGGAGUUUACUUGCUGGGACUACAGGAGUUCUCCCUGACCAAAUUAGCCAACAGAAAUGAAAAUAAUGCAAGCUGUGUGUGGUGGCGCACACCUAUAAUCCCAGCACUUGGGAGGUUGAGGCAGGAGGAUGGCCAUGAGUUUGAGACCAGCCUGGACUACACAAUGAGACCCUGUCUCAGAAGAAAAUAAAGGAAGAAAAGAAAUGAAAAUUAUGGGAAUGAAGGGGUCAUCUCAUGUACAGAUAAGAAUUCAGGAUGAAGAGGUGAUGCGCCAGGAAGCAAUGUUAAAGGGAGGGACUUCUGGGAAGAUGGCAGAAUGGUAAGCAGUCACAAAGCAGCCUCUCCAAGAUUCAGAAUGCAGACACUGGAAAACCUUAGAAAGAAAAGAAGAAGAGAGGUGGAUCUCCGGGACCCAGGAAGAAUCUGGAGGGAAAAUUGGAGCCUGCAGAGAAAUUGAAGAAACUGACCACAAUGCAGAAAAAGGAAGGGGAAAUCUGCACUCUCUCCCCAGCUCUUGGCUCAUGAGAAGGGAAGAUUGACUCUACAGAGACAUAGUGGAAGUGGGGAACUCCAGAGGCCUUCAGGAAGAAAUGCACUAGUGGAACAGAGCAGUGGAUGCUGUGUGCUACAACAGUUGAACAUGAGAAUGACAGUGAUGAUGAUGAUGAAGCUGAGGAACUGGUGAGUGAUGAA